rnacentral:rRNA from 1 species
CUCCUACGGGAGGCAGCAGUAGGGAAUCUUCCGCAAUGGACGAAAGUCUGACGGAGCAACGCCGCGUGAGUGAUGAAGGCUUUCGGGUCGUAAAACUCUGUUGUUAGGGAAGAACAAGUGCUAGUUGAAUAAGCUGGCACCUUGACGGUACCUAACCAGAAAGCCACGGCUAACUACGUGCCAGCAGCCGCGGUAAUACGUAGGUGGCAAGCGUUAUCCGGAAUUAUUGGGCGUAAAGCGCGCGCAGGUGGUUUCUUAAGUCUGAUGUGAAAGCCCACGGCUCAACCGUGGAGGGUCAUUGGAAACUGGGAGACUUGAGUGCAGAAGAGGAAAGUGGAAUUCCAUGUGUAGCGGUGAAAUGCGUAGAGAUAUGGAGGAACACCAGUGGCGAAGGCGACUUUCUGGUCUGUAACUGACACUGAGGCGCGAAAGCGUGGGGAGCAAACAGGAUUAGAUACCCUGGUAGUCCACGCCGUAAACGAUGAGUGCUAAGUGUUAGAGGGUUUCCGCCCUUUAGUGCUGAAGUUAACGCAUUAAGCACUCCGCCUGGGGAGUACGGCCGCAAGGCUGAAACUCAAAGGAAUUGACGGGGCCCCGCACAAGCGGCGGAGCAUGCGGAUUAAUUCGAUGCAACGCGUAGAACCUUACCUGGGUUUGACAUGGAUCGGGAGCGCUCAGAGAUGGGUGUGCCUCUUUUGGGGUCGGUUCACAGGUGGUGCAUGGCUGUCGUCAGCUCGUGUCGUGAGAUGUUGGGUUAAGUCCCGCAACGAGCGCAACCCUUGUUCACUGUUGCCAGCACGUUAUGGUGGGGACUCAGUGGAGACCGCCGGAGUCAACUCGGAGGAAGGUGGGGAUGACGUCAAGUCAUCAUGCCCCUUAUGUCCAGGGCUUCACGCAUGCUACAAUGGCGGUGACAGUGGGCAGCAAACUCGCGAGAGUGCGCUAAUCUCCAAAAGCCGUCUCAGUUCGGAUUGUUCUCUGCAACUCGAGAGCAUGAAGGCGGAAUCGCUAGUAAUCGCGGAUCAGCAUGCCGCGGUGAAUACGUUCCCAGGCCUUGUACACACCGCCCGU